AAGCAGCUUGCUGCUUCGCUGACGAGUGGCGGACGGGUGAGUAAUGUCUGGGAAACUGCCUGAUGGAGGGGGAUAACUACUGGAAACGGUGGCUAAUACCGCAUAACGUCGCAAGACCAAAGAGGGGGACCUUCGGGCCUCUUGCCAUCAGAUGUGCCCAGAUGGGAUUAGCUUGUUGGUGAGGUAACGGCUCACCAAGGCGACGAUCCCUAGCUGGUCUGAGAGGAUGACCAGCCACACUGGAACUGAGACACGGUCCAGACUCCUACGGGAGGCAGCAGUGGGGAAUAUUGCACAAUGGGCGCAAGCCUGAUGCAGCCAUGCCGCGUGUAUGAAGAAGGCCUUCGGGUUGUAAAGUACUUUCAGCGGGGAGGAAGGUGUUGUGGUUAAUAACCGC
rnacentral:rRNA from 1 species